CUCUCAAACCCUCACGGCGUUCUCCUCUUCUGAAGCUCCGUCUCUGUCCUCUCUGAAUCCGUCAAAGAUAAGCUCUCAUCUCUGUGAGUAAGAUUAGAUUCAUCUUUCUUUCUCCCUAUAUCAUUCUUGUAUAGCUUGAUUAAUCAACGUCUUUUUAUCAUCUGCUAAAUCUAAAUGUGAGAUGUAGUAGUUUAUAUAAUUGGGGUAAUUUCAAUUAAACGCAUUCUAAUGGAAUGCCCGAUUCGAUUUGAACUCAACCUGUAUUUUGAUUUUAUUGUGAGUCCAGGACAAAGGGUUGUCAAUCCCAGGUCAAUUCAAGCUUUUAAAGUCGCUGCACUACCAAUUGCUCUCUUAUUCUGGGUUCGAAAUGGGUUUUCAUUAUCUCUCGUUGUAGUCCAAAAAUUUUGGAUCUUUAGGCAUGUUUUCAUCCCUAUGGACUUUUGUUGUUUCAAUUUUGGAUUCUUCUCUCAUUCUGAGCAAUUGGUUAUCAUUAUUCAAUCUCAUCCUAGGUACCUGUAUAUAAUUUACUUAAUAAGAUGCAAUUGUUAUUAUUGGUUUGCUUUGUGAUCCUAUCCCUCUUUUAUUCAGUUAUUAGUUUUGGUUUAUUGGUGCUGAUCUCUUUGGUUUAUUCAUUUUACAAGUAUAAACAGAAUGAGCUAAUGAAGUCAAUGGGUGGGAAAAAGAAGUCUGGCAGUUCUUGGUUCAUAUUAUAUAUAUAUGGAGGUCUAAUUUCAUUUUAGUUUUUGUUAUGUGCAGUGCGUGCAAUUCUCUUAUUCUACUCUAUCAAUUUGUAUACAUCCUAUUUCUUCUUCUGUAUUUUUGUAUUUGCCAUUACUGUAAUUUAUUUUUGGCUUUUUUGUUUUUUGUUUUUUACUUCAGUGUACUUCUAUCUGACUAGAUGGCAUUGGAUAUGGAGUUAAGGACGUUGUGUACUGGAGCUAACCCAGAAUAAACAUGGAGAAUCCUGUGAUAAAGAAUACAGACUAAUUGGAAGACCUCUCGAAAGGCCUUGUGGUUGCAUUCUAGACUUAGCUCAAUCUAAUUUCUGACUUGAAUGGUGUUGGGUGGUCAAUUCAGAAGUGCAGCACUGCAGCAUCUCUCAAAUAGUUAAGAGUUCUGCAAAGAUGGUUUCUUUUAUUGUUCUAGACUGUUAUUUUGUAUUUCACAAUUUUGAUGGGUAUUCAUCACAAAUGUUCAAGUGUAAUGGAGAUCCAAAAUUAAAAGGCAUAUAAAGGCUAUUUAUUUAA